rnacentral:rRNA from 1 species
AUUGAACGCUGGCGGCAGGCCUAACACAUGCAAGUCGAGCGGAUGAGAGGAGCUUGCUCCUUGAUUUAGCGGCGGACGGGUGAGUAAUGCCUAGGAAUCUGCCUGGUAGUGGGGGAUAACGUUCCGAAAGGAACGCUAAUACCGCAUACGUCCUACGGGAGAAAGCAGGGGACCUUCGGGCCUUGCGCUAUCAGAUGAGCCUAGGUCGGAUUAGCUAGUUGGUGAGGUAAUGGCUCACCAAGGCGACGAUCCGUAACUGGUCUGAGAGGAUGAUCAGUCACACUGGAACUGAGAGACGGUCCAGACGACUACGGGAGGCAGCAGUGGGGAAUAUUGGACAAUGGGCGAAAGCCUGAUCCAGCCAUGCCGCGUGUGUGAAGAAGGUCUUCGGAUUGUAAAGCACUUUAAGUUGGGAGGAAGGGCAGUAAGCUAAUACCUUGCUGUUUUGACGUUACCGACAGAAUAAGCACCGGCUAACUUCGUG